rnacentral:rRNA from 1 species
GUGAACGCCGGCGGUAGGCCUAACACAUGCAAGUCGAACGGCAGCACAGUAAGAGCUUGCUCUUACGGGUGGCGAGUGGCGGACGGGUGAGGAAUACAUCGGAAUCUACUUUUUCGUGGGGGAUAACGUAGGGAAACUUACGCUAAUACCGCAUACGACCUACGGGUGAAAGCAGGGGAUCUUCGGACCUUGCGCGAUUGAAUGAGCCGAUGUCGGAUUAGCUAGUUGGCGGGGUAAAGGCCCACCAAGGCGACGAUCCGUAGCUGGUCUGAGAGGAUGAUCAGCAACACUGGAACUGAGACACGGUCCAGACUCCUACGGGAGGAAGCAGUGGGGAAUAUUGGACAAUGGGCGAAAGCCUGAUCCAGCCAUACCGCGUGGGUGAAGAAGGCCUUCGGGUUGUAAAGCCCUUUUGUUGGGAAAGAAAAGCAGCAGGUUAAUACCCCGCUGUUCUGACGGUACCCAAAGAAUAAGCACCGGCUAACUUCGUG